rnacentral:sRNA from 1 species
GUUGUGUGUUGGCACACACCUGUAAUCCCAGCUACUCGGGAGGCUGAGGUAGGAGGAUCAUAAAUUUGAGGUCAGCCUGGGCAACUUACUGAGACCCUAUCUCAA